AGAAAAUAGCUAUUCAUCCCGUGAGCCAAACUAGCCGCUGCACUCACAAUAUUUUUUGCCACCGAAUCUCAAGCGGUGGACUAUAGUAUGCUAGUAUACAUGUGUCUUUACUUCAUACUAUUCAUUUCGGCAAAAAACAAAACACAUAUUGGUUAAAGUAUCACUUUAUUCAAUAAGUAAAACCAUGUAUUAUUAAUCGGACGAAAUCCUCACAAAUUUAAUAAGAUAUAUUUUGAGAACACCCCCAGUCAUUUUAACUAGGUGUAAUGGUAUUUUAGAUACUUUAUCUAAAAGUUUAUUACGUCUUUUUUUAAAAUUAAUUAAGGGAAACGGGAAACAGUCACUUUAACAGAAAAUGUAACAAAUAAAGACAGAAAAUGGAUUGAAAUUAAAAAAAAAAAUGCUCGCUAUUUCAAAUUAUGGAUAUAAUGAAUAAAUGAGCAUGGAGCGCAUUUUGAAAAUUAUAAUCAUCGCGGUUUUAUUGGUGGUUGUUGUUGUUUUAGGGGUUAUUUUGGCUUUAGUUCGUUCUAUGCCGGAUCUGCCAACAACAGUAAGUAAUGAUAAAAUAUGCUUACCAACAGAGCAUGGUUCACUUUCCUGUGGGAAAACAACAGAAAUGCUGCAUAAUUACCUGGGAAAGGCAAUAGCCAAAGAAUAUACCAAAGUUAAGCAGGAAGAUACUGAGCGACAGCAAAACUAUCUGAAUGAAAACAGGGUCCGCUUAAUGGAUAUUUAUGGCAAACACUUCUGGGAAAUGAAGCCUGCCGCCAAGUUAAUUGGAAAGGAACAACCAAAACCAACACUAAGUGGUAACAAUGCUGAAAUGAUACCUGUACGAGUUUGGCGACACGGGAAAGAACUCAACGAUACAAGCGGUUUCGAGCGACAAACGGAACUAGCAAGGGAAGCAUCUAUUUCAUCAUAAGUUUCCUCAUUCAGCAAGACAAUUCACCGGUGACUAGAGAAAUGUAAAAAACACCUUAAGAUAAUGAAAGCGGUGGAACGUAAGAAGAGCGAAUUUUACCGGAACUAUGAUUGCUAUCAAAAAUAGAAAGACACGAUUGAAGAAGUACUACAUAACACUUUGUGCACUAUCGUUUCAACUAACUGAAAAUCAAUCAAAAAGAUCGAUAACAUUCGAUGCAUUACACUUGAAAAAAGAAACUAAUUUGUCUUCCUUGCUCCCAUCGCU
rnacentral:misc_RNA from 1 species